rnacentral:rRNA from 1 species
UACGAAGGGGGGCUAGCGUUGCUCGGAAUCACUGGGCGUAAAGCGCACGUAGGCGGAUUGCUAAGUCAGGGGUGAAAUCCUGGAGCUCAACUCCAGAACUGCCUUUGAUACUGGCGAUCUUGAGUCCGGGAGAGGGUGAGUGGAACUGCGAGUGUAGAGGUGAAAUUCGUAGAUAUUCGCAAGAACACCAGUGGCGAAGGCGGCUCACUGGCCCGGUACGUGACGCUGAGGUGCGAAAGCGUGGGGAGCAAACAGG